UAAGAACCUUUUCAACCAUGGAGUGAUUGGGAUGUCAUAAGUGUACUGUGUCAACUCUUGACCUGAUUUUUCAUUGCUGAUUUCCAUCUUUGGAUCUGGAUGAGCUAGUCGCUUAGCCAAGCCUUUCUCUUCAUCCAUACUUUUAAGGAAAUUUUUGUCUUGAACCCAAAUAGGUUUUUCUAGGUAUGCAAUGUGGCUUCAUUACAUAACCUGGCAUUAUGUUGUCCAAAAAGAAGCCUAGUACUCCUGCUGUGCUCGUGCUCAUGAGAACAGUGACUAUCUAACUGAAGAUAUGCAAUCGCCUGUAAAUAUCAAGAUGGGCUUUCAUCCAUUGUGAAGGGGAAGGAAAGUGAACUAUCAUGGGGGGUGAUCUUCAUACCAAGGAUGCUGUGUGUGUCCUCUCAGUGAUCCUAGGUCAAUACUGAGGGGAUCUAAUAAAGGGCUGUAAUGGUUGCAGAAAAACGAGCCAUUUGCUGCAAUUACGUGCAGGAAUAGUGGAUACUUGGGAUAUCAAAACACAGCUGCUGAUGUAUCUGUAAGAUGUGGCCUAGCACUUACCACAUUCAUAUCACAUUGAUCCUUACUUUACUAAUGGCAUUAACGGACAAUUAGAUAAGAUAAGUGUUGAUCAAAGUUAUCUCGUUGACUUUGUGGAACAUUCGGGUUUGACGUUAAACUUAUCAGAAGCGAGUGUGAUUAAGAACAAGAAAAUCACGGUUAUUAACUCUGCUGGUGCCCAGUUUCGGAAUUUUAUUGCACAUCGUUCCCUGUCGAAAUUGUCUGCUUCGUGCUGAGAACCUGUAUUCGCAAAAAAUACCUUGUCAUCGUUGUUUUGUCAUAGGUAGUUGUGUGGAAUGGGCAUGUA